rnacentral:rRNA from 1 species
UACGGAGGGGGCUAGCGUUGUUCGGAAUUACUGGGCGUAAAGGGCGCGUAGGCGGCAAUUCAAGUCAUCUGUGAAAUCUCCGGGCUUAACUCGGAACUGUCAGAUGAUACUGCUUUGCUAGAGUGCAGAAGGGGCAAUCGGAAUUCUUGGUGUAGCGGUGAAAUGCGUAGAUAUCAAGAGGAACACCUGAGGUGAAGACGGGUUGCUGGGCUGACACUGACGCUGAGGCGCGAAAGCCAGGGGAGCAAACGGG